UACGGAGGGUGCAAGCGUUAUCCGGAUUCACUGGGUUUAAAGGGUGCGUAGGUGGGCAGGUAAGUCAGUGGUGAAAUCUCCGGGCUUAACCCGGAAACUGCCGUUGAUACUAUCUGUCUUGAAUAUCGUGGAGGUGAGCGGAAUAUGUCAUGUAGCGGUGAAAUGCUUAGAUAUGACAUAGAACAUCAAUUGCGAAGGCAGCUCGCUACACGGUUAUUGACACUGAGGCACGAAAGCGUGGGGAUCAAACAGG
rnacentral:rRNA from 1 species